rnacentral:rRNA from 1 species
AGUGAACGCUGGCGGUAGGCCUAACACAUGCAAGUCGAACGGCAGCACAGUAAGAGCUUGCUCUUACGGGUGGCGAGUGGCGGACGGGUGAGGAAUACAUCGGAAUCUACUUUUUCGUGGGGGAUAACGUAGGGAAACUUACGCUAAUACCGCAUACGACCUACGGGUGAAAGCAGGGGAUCUUCGGACCUUGCGCGAUUGAAUGAGCCGAUGUCGGAUUAGCUAGUUGGCGGGGUAAAGGCCCACCAAGGCGACGAUCCGUAGCUGGUCUGAGAGGAUGAUCAGCCACACUAGAACUGAGACACGGUCCAGACUCCUACGGGAGGCAGCAGUCGGGAAUAUUUGACAAUGGGCGCAAGCCUGAUCCAGCCAUACCGCGUGGGUGAAGAAGGCCUUCGGGUUGUAAAGCCCUUUUGUUGGGAAAGAAAAGCAGCAGGUUAAUACCCCGCUGUUCUGACGGUACCCAAAGAAUAAGCACCGGCUAACUUCGUG